CGGAACGUGUCCAUAAGUGGGGGAUAGCCCGGCGAAAGCCGGAUUAAUACCGCAUACGAUCUAUGGAUGAAAGCUGGGGAUCGCAAGACCUGGCGCUUUAGGAGCGGCCGAUAUCCGAUUAGCUAGAUGGUGAGGUAAAGGCUUACCAUGGCGACGAUCGGUAGCUGGUCUGAGAGGAUGAUCAGCCACACUGGGACUGAGACACGGCCCAG
rnacentral:rRNA from 1 species